UACGAAGGGGGCUAGCGUUGCUCGGAAUCACUGGGCGUAAAGCGCACGUAGGCGGCUUUCUAAGUCAGGGGUGAAAUCCUGGAGCUCAACUCCAGAACUGCCUUUGAUACUGGAGAGCUCGAGUCCGGAAGAGGUGAGUGGAACUCCGAGUGUAGAGGUGAAAUUCGUAGAUAUUGGGAAGAACACCGGUGGCGAAGGCGGCCAACUGGACCAUUUCUGACGCUGAGGCGCGAAAGCGUGGGGAGCAAACAGG
rnacentral:rRNA from 1 species